ACACGAAGUGAGUGGCGAACGGGUGAGUAACACGUGGGUAACCUGCCCAGAAGUAGGGGAUAACACCUGGAAACAGAUGCUAAUACCGUAUAACAGAGAAAACCGCAUGGUUUUCUUUUAAAAGAUGGCUCUGCUAUCACUUCUGGAUGGACCCGCGGCGUAUUAGCUAGUUGGUGAGGUAAAGGCUCACCAAGGCAGUGAUACGUAGCCGACCUGAGAGGGUAAUCGGCCACAUUGGGACUGAGACACGGCCCAGACUCCUACGGGAGGCAGCAGUAGGGAAUCUUCCACAAUGGACGCAAGUCUGAUGGAGCAACGCCGCGUGAGUGAAGAAGGGUUUCGGCUCGUAAAGCUCUGUUGUUAAAGAAGAACGUGGGUAAGAGUAACUG
rnacentral:rRNA from 1 species